rnacentral:tRNA from 1 species
GGCGGCGUGGUGUAAUGGCUAACACAUGGGGUUUCCGGUCUACUGAAGAUGCUGGUUCGCUCCCAGCCGCCGAUU